rnacentral:rRNA from 1 species
GACGAACGCUGGCGGCGUGCUUAACACAUGCAAGUCGAACGGAAAGGCCCUGCUUUUGUGGGGUGCUCGAGUGGCGAACGGGUGAGUAACACGCGAGGAACCUGCCCUUGACAGUGGGAUAACUUCAGGAAACUGGGGCUAAUACCGGAGAGGAGCUCCUGCUGCAUGGGGGGGGUUGGAAAGUUUCGGUGGUUGGGGAUGGUCUCGCGGCUUAUCAGCUUGUUGGGGGGGUAGUGGCUGACCAAGGCUUUGACGGGUAGCCGGCCUGGGAGGGUGACCGGCCACCUUGGGCCUGCGAUACGGCCCAGUCUCCUACGGGAGGCAGCAGUGGGGAAUAUUGCACAAUGGGCGGAAGCCUGAUGCAGCAACGCCGCGUGCGGGAUGACGGCCUUCGGGUUGUAAACCGCUUUCGCCUGUGCCGAAGCGUGAGUGACGGUACUGGGUAAAAAAGCACCGGCUAACUACGUG